CCCAUGUGGGUCUGAAAUGGGCUCAGGAAGAGAAUUCUGGGGUCGUAAGUAUGCUCUACAAGGGGAGCUCCUUUAAAUGGUAGUAUCUUUGGUUAAGAAAAGGGUCCAGAGGGGGUGCCAAGGGAAAGACACCCUCACCUAGGUUCAAGGGCAAUGGUGCUGGAACCCCUCCCCCACUUAGGACAAAUUAGUUAGCAUAUUUCCCUUGAACUUACUGACAUGGAAUAUAUGUUCCCGUAGAGAUUAAAAGGUGUUGUUUUGAAGGUUAUUUCCCCUCCCCCACGAAUAACAUCAUGCUAUGUGCAUUGUUCUGCAACUUGCUUUUGUUCACUUGCUCUGAAGCGGGGAUUUUUCCACACACCUCUACGUUUUUUCACUGCCGCUUAUUGUCCUGCGGGUAUGGUUAUGCUAUAGCUUAGUGAAAGAUAAGCAGUAUUGGCUUACGACAGGUUUUGCACAAUAACAUAGUACAUACAUUCCUGAAAACCAUUGCAUUCUAUAAAAUUGCACACUAAAAAUAACAGGCUAAAAAUAAUAGGGUUGGGAAGGCCUGUAAAACCCAUGCAACUUGGUAAUAGAGCGCUGACCAAAACAGUAACUGACGCCUCUAGAGGAAACCUGGACGGCCCAGGCAAGCAGCUCUAGAUUGGGAGGUUGCCUCCAGGGACACUGAAUGCCACACAACACUACAGUGUGGUGCUGGGGCUGCAGGUGCCCAGAAAGUGCAGGUGGCCUGAACUCUCAGCCAGGUGGGCACAGGAGGAAGUGCAAACUGCUUCCUGGGAUGCACCUCUCUGGGGAGUGGACCCCAGGUGCAGGCCUGCAUUUGACGUUUUCUUAAAAUAGAGCUAAAGGGCUGUUCCUGAGCAGAAGCUAAGUUGAGGGCUUUUCCUUUCCUGCUAAAGGUGACAGUUCUCCUGCUGAUCCAGCCUCUUUGAGAGGACAAUUUCAUGUGCCCCAAUCCAGCUACUUCAUAAUCACAUCAUCUUCCCAACCAGUUCUGAGGGUGAGCUCUUGGGAUUAUAGAGACAUAUAUGGUAGAAGAUGGCAUAAAGGUGACUAGAUCAUGGCCCAUGCUCAGUAAUGACUUGCAAAGGAUAGGAGGGAAGGAAAGACGGAAGGGAAAGAGAGAAGAAAGGAAGGAGAGGCGAAGGAUGGGAGGAAAGAAGGAAAGAGGGAAUGAAGGACCAAGAAUAACAUAAGGAAAUAGUUAACACCUUUCAUUAAGAAUGCCCACCUAAACCGGGGAAGGUGGCGCAUGCCUGUAAUCCCAGCAGCUUGGGAGGCUGAGGCAGGAGGAUAGUGAGUUAAAAGCCAGUCUCAGCAAUUUAGCAAGGUCCUAAGCAACUUAGCAAGACUGUCUCAAAAUAAAACAUAAAAAGGGCUGGGGAUGUGGCUCAGCGGCUAAGUGGAUUCAAUCUCUGUAGGAAUGCCUACUUAACAUCACCAAGUUCAGUACUUCUAAAUGAAAGUUCAUGAUGGACCUCUGAAGGAGUUGAUGAAAUUCUUGUAAGUUUAUGGGAAAAUAAAGACUAUGCAUGAAACAGACACUUCUCAAAAAAGAAGUAUGAAUGGCCAAUAAUUAUAUGAAAAAUGUUCAACAUUUCUAGUCAUUAGGGAAAUGCAAAUUAAAACCACCUUGAGAUUCCAUCUUAUCCCAAUCAGAAUGGCAAUCAUCAAGAAUACAAAAAACAAUAAAUGUUGGUGACUCUGUCGUGGGAAAGAAACAUUUACAGUGUUGGUGGAAAUGUAAAUUAGUACAGCUAUGAUGGCAAGCAGUAUGGAGGUUCCUCAAAUAAAUAAAAAUAGAACUGCCAUAUGAUCCAGCUAUACCACUGCCUGGUAUAUACCGGAGAGAGUUGAGUCAGCAUACCAUAGCGAUACAUGCAAACUCAUGCUUAUAUCAGCAUAAUUCACAAUAGUCAAGUUAUGGAAUUGACCUAGCUGUCUGUCAACAGAUGAAUGGAUAAAGAAAAUGUGGUAUACAUACACAAUAGAGUAUUAUUCAGCCAUAAAUAAGUAUUCAGUAUUCAAUAAAUAAAUUAAUAAAUAAAUAAAUUAAUAAAUAAAUAAGUAUUCAGUAUUAUUCAGUAUUAUUCAGUAUUAUUCAGCCAUAAAUAAGUACAAAAUAGUGUCAAAUGGAUGUGGAGAUCAUCACGUUAAGUGAAAUAAGCCAGCUUCUGAAAGACAGGUAUUGCAUAUUUUCUCUUAUAUGUGACUCUGGACAAUGUAUGGCAUAAAUGGAGCAGGGAGACUACUAGUGAAGAGGUAUGGGAUCAGGGGAGGGGAGGACAAAGGUGGAUAACAGGGAGGAGAAAAUGAUCAAAAAUGUUAUAUGCAUGUAUGAAUACUAAAGCCACUGAAACCACUAAACUGUGAAUUGAUAUGCACUAAUAAAAAUUUAAAGACUACGCAUGGAAUAGAAAAUAUCCCCGAAGAAUCAUCUUAUUCUGAAAUUGACUUAUUUUAUAACAUUGAAAUGCCCUUUUCUAUGAAUAGGAUACGAAUAUUGAUAUCAAGUGUAUUUAUAUCUCCGUAGCCAUACACAUAUCCUUCUGUAAUAAAAUACAAAGUUGUCAACCUUUUUUUGGUCCCUAGAUUUUUGCUGAUCUAUCAAAUGCAAAAUUCUAGUAACCACUGUGUUUCAGGUCAUCUCUGAUCUUCCAGUAAAAUGAUUCCUAAACCAUGCAGGAAAAUGACAUCUGGCCUAUUCCUCAGAUCCGAGGUUCUCCCCAGGGUGCCAAAGGGAAAUCUUGUCUUUAUACCUUCUGUCCUUGUAAAGUUCAUAUAAGGUGUCCCCCGUAAGUGCAGUUCUCUCUGCUGUAAGAAGAAACAGUAUUAUAAAUCUUGUUUGAGUGUCAUGAUGUGGAAAUUCCCUUCAAGUAUAACUUCUCAUUUCUCACAACAUAUUUGGGGGAAAUUGGGGGAUGGAGACCCAGAGGGUGGGGUAGACCCCAGAAUUCACCACCAAUGACUUUAAUCCCCCAGGGCACAGCUCUCUGAGGCUCUCUUCUGAUCUCCCUGGGUGGACAUUUUGGUCACUUUAUCCCACGUGAAGGUGAGGCUAGGAAGGAAGAGGUGGGAUCAGAGGCUCAGGAAAAAAGUGCCUCUGAACAUGAACAUGGUCCCUAUGAACUGAGGGCACACACCCAGAUUUGUCUCUUUUUAAGAGGAACUGAAGCCAGGCCAGGGGUUCCCCCACAGUGAUCUGGAUCCCAGGGUACCGCCCACAACAAUCUGGGCUGACGCCACCACUCUGCCAUCACCUGUGGGACUGGGCCACCCUUGCUUAUCACAUAUGCAGAGGGUCUCCUGGGCUAGUGCUGACAGCCAUGAGACUGCCCUCUCAGGGUGUUGGUGCCUUCACCUGUGGAUGGAGACAGCUGACCACAUGAACUCUAACCCUGUUCCAGCUGCCUUAUUCUAUGGCCCUAUCAUUAAACCAAACCUAACUAAAGACCAUCAUUCAGAAAUGGGCUUUGAAAACACGACUUAAAAAAAAUUAAAACACAUAGAACUAUAAAAGCAAAGUGUAGGACAACAGCACCUGACUAUUUGAUAUAAAAGCAUAGACAAAAAAAUAUUUAUAUAUGUUAGAAUACAUAUGUAGAGAAUAUCUUUCAAAUGAUAUGUGAGAAACCGAUUGAUCCUGGUAAUAAGGUGGCAGGGGAGGAGGC
rnacentral:lncRNA from 1 species